rnacentral:rRNA from 1 species
ACACAUGCAAGUCGAACGAUGAACCGCUUUCGGGCGGGGAUUAGUGGCGAACGGGUGAGUAACACGUGGGCAAUCUGCCCUGCACUCUGGGACAAGCCCUGGAAACGGGGUCUAAUACCGGAUAUGACUGUCCGCCGCAUGGUGGAUGGUGUAAAGCUCCGGCGGUGCAGGAUGAGCCCGCGGCCUAUCAGCUUGUUGGUGAGGUAGUGGCUCACCAAGGCGACGACGGGUAGCCGGCCUGAGAGGGCGACCGGCCACACUGGGACUGAGACACGGCCCAGACUCCUACGGGAGGCAGCAGUGGGGAAUAUUGCACAAUGGGCGAAAGCCUGAUGCAGCGACGCCGCGUGAGGGAUGACGGCCUUCGGGUUGUAAACCUCUUUCAGCAGGGAAGAAGCGAGAGUGACGGUACCUGCAGAAGAAGCGCCGGCUAACUACGUGCCAGCAGCCGCGGUAAUACGUAGGGCGCAAGCGUUGUCCGGAAUUAUUGGGCGUAAAGAGCUCGUAGGCGGCUUGUCACGUCGGUUGUGAAAGCCCGGGGCUUAACCCCGGGUC